CUUCUUGUAUAGGUAUGUCAGUCUACCGGGUAUUCGCCGAUAGGUAUUCCUUCCUAUUGAAAGUGCUUUACAACCCUCAGGCCUUCUUCACACACGCGGUAUUGCUGGAUCAGGCUUUCGCCCAUUGUCCAAUAUUCCCCACUGCUGCCUCCCGUAGGAGUCUGGGCCGUGUCUCAGUCCCAGUGUGGCUGAUCAUCCUCUCAGACCAGCUAUGGAUCGUCGCCUUGGUAGGCCUUUACCCUACCAACUAGCUAAUCCAACAUAGGCUCAUCUAUUAGCGCCAGGCCCGAAGGUCCCCAGCUUUCCCCCGUAGGGCGUAUGCGGUAUUAGCGUGAGUUUCCCCACGUUGUCCCCCACUAAUAGGCAGAUUCCUAUGCAUUACUCACCCGUCCGCCACUCGUCAGCGCCCGAAGGCCUGCUACCGUUCGACUUGCAUGUGUUAGCAUACCGCCAGCGUUCAAUCUGAGCCAGGAUCAAACUCUAUCGAAUUCCGCG
rnacentral:rRNA from 1 species